rnacentral:tRNA from 1 species
GCGGCAGUAGCUCAGCUGGUAGAGCGCAACCUUGCCAAGGUUGAGGUCGCGGGUUCGAGUCCCGUCUGCCGCUCCU